UUCUGAGUGUGGGGACACACAUGCUACCCUGGUUGUCAGCAGGUGAGAAGGGGGCUCUGAUCAGCUUCUCACUGGAUUUAGAGAAGAGCAGAUGCCCCUGAUCAGCUUCUCACUGGAUUUAGAGAAGAGCAGAUGUCCCAGACUUGUAGCUGCCAUUGCCUCUCUCUUUCGGAAAAUGAGAGUUGCUAAGAGGCUCCAGAAGCAGAUGAGCAGAGGAGACGAGAUAAGCAGAGGGAUGGCAGAACUGUGUGGCAGAGAAAGAGAGAAGAAGAGGAACAUCUGAACACCGAGAGGACUUCGUCUGGGGGCAGUUGGAGAGAUGGGCUGCUUGACAGCCAAACUCCAGGGGAAGAUCAUCUUCCUGCUCCAUUCUCCCUUCUGGCUCCCCAUCCGUCCUGCUGAGAGCCACCUCCACCAUUCAAUAAAACCCCAUAUUCAUCCUUCAAGCCCAUGUGUGACCCAAUUCUUCUAGGAUGCUGGGCAAGAGCUCAGGAUACAGAAAGAUGUCACACUGGCCCUCUGCCCUUGUGAAAAGGCAGAGGGUCCAUUGAUCUGGUAAACACUUAAGCUGUCUGAGGAUGGCAAGGCUAAAAGCAUUGUAACACAGGGGUUGCAGGCAUCCACCCCUAGACAUGACUGCAGGGCCAGAGGCCAAAGCACCUGCCCCAGCUUCUGCACCUGCCGGUCUGUGUGCUCCCCAUCCUGUCAGGGUAUGAGCAGCAGCAGUGACACAACAGACAAGCCACACCCCUGUCACAUGUCCUGCGAGAGGGAUCAGGGAACUCUCCUGUUUCAAAAUUUUCAUUUCUUUGUCUGGCUGAAUAAUACUCCAUUGUGUGUAGAGGCUACACUGUAUGUCCAUCCAUCUGUUGAUGGACAUUUGGACUGCUUCUGCCUUUCGACUAUUGUGAGUAAUGCUGCAGUGAACACUGCCGUGCAAAUAUCUUUUGGAGUCCCUGCUUUCCAUUCUUUUGGCUAUACUAAGAGU
rnacentral:lncRNA from 1 species